GACAGAGGUGCCGAGCGUUAGGCGGAAUCACUGGGCUUAAAGCGUGUGUAGGCGGGUCGUUAAGUGUCUUGUGAAAUCCCACCGCUCAACGGUGGAACUGCUGGGCAUACUGGCGAUCUUGAGCCACCUAGGGGCAGACGGAACAAGCGGUGGAGCGGUGAAAUGCGUAGAUAUUGCUUGGAACGCCGACGGUGAAAACAGUCUGCUGGGGGUGUGCUGACGCUGAGACACGAAAGCCAGGGGAGCGAACGGG
rnacentral:rRNA from 1 species